GUGCUCACUUUGGCAGCAUAUAUACUAAAAUUGGAAGAACAUAGAGAAGAUUAGCAUGGUCCCUGCACAAGGGUGACACAUAAACUCGUGAGUGUUCUGUAUUUUUU
ensembl:snRNA U6 U6 spliceosomal RNA